UACGUAGGGGGCAAGCGUUGUCCGGAAUUAUUGGGCGUAAAGAGCGUGUAGGCGGUCCGGUAAGUCAGCUGUGAAAGUCAAGGGCUCAACCCUUGAAAGCCGGUUGAUACUGUCGGGCUAGAGUCCGGAAGAGGCGAGUGGAAUUCCCGGUGUAGCGGUGAAAUGCGUAGAUAUCGUAAGGAAGACCAGUGGCGAAGGCGGGUCUCUGGACAGUUCCUGACGCUGAGGCACGAAGGUCAGGGGAGCAAACGGG
rnacentral:rRNA from 1 species